UGCAUUAUUUGACGUUACCUACAGAAGAAGCACCGGCUAACUCCGUGCCAGCAGCCGCGGUAAUACGGAGGGUGCGAGCGUUAAAUCGGAAUUACUGGGCGUAAAGCGCAUGCAGGCGGCCUGUUAAGUCAGAUGUGAAAGCCCCGGGGCUUAACCUCGGAAUUGCAUUUGAAACUGGCAGGCUAGAGUCUUGUAGAGGGGGUAGAAUUUCAGGUGUAGCGGUGAAAUGCGUAGAGAUCUGAAGGAAUACCAGUGGCGAAGGCGGCCCCCUGGACAAAGACUGACGCUCAGAUGCGAAAGCGUGGGGAGCAAACAGGAUUAGAUACCCCUGGUAG
rnacentral:rRNA from 1 species